GACGAACGCUGGCGGCGUGCUUAACACAUGCAAGUCGAACGGUAAGGCCCUUCGGGGUACACGAGUGGCGAACGGGUGAGUAACACGUGGUGAUCUGCCCUGCACUUUGGGAUAAGCCUGGGAAACUGGGUCUAAUACCGAAUAUGACCUCGGACUUCACGGUUUGUGGUGGAAAGCUUUUGCGGUGUGGGAUGGGCCCGCGGCCUAUCAGCUUGUUGGUGGGGUAAUGGCCUACCAAAGGCGACGACGGGGUAGCCGGCCUGAGAGGGUGUCCGGCCACACUGGGACUGAGAUACGGCCCAGACUCCUACGGGAGGCAGCAGUAGGGAAUAUUGCACAAUGGGCGCAAGCCUGAUGCAGCGACGCCGCGUGGGGGAUGACGGCC
rnacentral:rRNA from 1 species